UCUGUUUGAUCCUGGCGGAGGCCACUGCUAUCGGAGUUCGAUUAAGCCAUGCGAGUCGAGAGGUGCAAGACCUCGGCAUACUGCUCAGUAACACGUGGACAACCUACCCUAUGGAGGGGGAUAACCCCGGGAAACUGGGGAUAAUACCCCAUAGAUUAUGGAUGCUGGAAUGCUCUGUAGUUGAAAGGUCCGCCGCCAUAGGAUGGGUCUGCGGCCGAUUAGGUUGUUGUUGGGGUAACGGCCCAACAAGCCUGUAAUCGGUACGGGUUGUGGGAGCAAGAGCCCGGAGAUGGAUUCUGAGACACGAAUCCAGGCCCUACGGGGCGCAGCAGGCGCGAAAACUUUACAAUGCGGGAAACCGUGAUAAGGGAACUCCGAGUGCCCGUUAAAUCGGGCUGUCCACCAGUUUAAAUAACUGGUGAAGAAAGGGCCGGGCAAGACCGGUGCCAGCCGCCGCGGUAAUACCGGCGGCUCGAGUGGUGGCCACUAUUACUGGGCUUAAAGCGUUCGUAGCUGGUCUGUUAAGUCUCUGGGGAAAUCUACCGGCUUAACCGGUAGGCGUCUCAGGGAUACUGGCAGACUAGGGACCGGGAGAGGUGAGGGGUACUCCAGGGGUAGGAGUGAAAUCCUGUAAUCCUUGGGGGACCACCUGUGGCGAAGGCGCCUCACCAGAACGGCUCCGACAGUGAGGGACGAAAGCUGGGGGAGCAAACCGGAUUAGAUACCCGGGUAGUCCCAGCUGUAAACGAUGCGCGUUAGGUGUAUCGGUGACCACGAGUCACCGAGGUGCCGAAGAGAAAUCGUGAAACGUGCCGCCUGGGAAGUACGGUCGCAAGGCUGAAACUUAAAGGAAUUGGCGGGGGAGCACCACAACGGGUGGAGCCUGCGGUUUAAUCGGACUCAACGCCGGGAAACUCACCGGACAAGACAGCUGAAUGAUAGUCGGGCUGAAGACUCUACUUGACUAGCUGAGAGGAGGUGCAUGGCCGUCGUCAGUUCGUACUGUGAAGCAUCCUGUUAAGUCAGGCAACGAGCGAGACCCA
rnacentral:rRNA from 1 species